GGCAGACUCCUAUCCCAAGUGAAGUCAUAGUCCUAAACACAAUUACAACCAUUGAAAUUAUUUUUUUUAUUGGAACAUGGCAUGGAAUCUAUGGACUGAACAUAUAGGCCAUUCCAAAAUUGAAGGAUUUUUAGGCCUCAACUACUCCCCAUGAAGCAAAAGACUGAAACAAUAACCAAGGAGCAAUGACAGAGCAAUCUACUGCUAAACCUCACAUGGGUCACCCACUUAAAUCCAAAGGAUUCAAAUGAAAUUCAUAAAAAAGAAAUACAUGUUUCCAGAAGAACAUAUGAAUAAAUUGAGUCAAUGAAGCUCACAUGCUCAGAACCCAUAAAUGAGAAGCAAAAAGCACAUAUUGUUAAAGUAUAACAAUGUUACACAAAUGAUAAGGCAAGAACAUGUCCAAGAAUGUAGAUUUAAUUAAUGGAAUUGAAUAUGACAUUAGCUGCAUGAGAGAAGUUAUCCAAGCAUACACUUUAAUAUGAGAUUUUCAUAAGCCUCAACAAUACUCGAUAGAAAAAGUCUAGCUUUUGACAUGGCGAUAAGGUGAAAUACCAUUUCGGAAUAAUUUCUGCCCAGAUUUGGUCUAACAGAGAAGAGAAAUUCACACUUAACUAUACUAAUCAAUGGAUGUUCUAUCAAUCUGUGAUCCAAACUAGCUAAAUUAUGGCGAAUUAACUGUCGAUUAAGCAGUAAACCAGCAUAUGAAAUCGUCAAAAGAACUAACCGCCAUAAACACAAUUGCACAUGUAGACACAGAAGAGAUUGUGACCAUUUUAACUCAGUACAGAUCUACACAUGCUUCCUUUCAAGCAACUUUCGUGAAAGAAAUGUAAUGACCAACAAAAUUUCCUUAGGCGAGUAACAGUCAGAUCAUUUUACCCCCAUUAAUGUCAUUUCAAGCAUGAACCAUGUAACCUUGGAAACUUAGUGAUUAUAGACAUUAACCAUCCAAUUAUCCAUUAAUGUUUAACAACUGAAGCAUCUCGCUUAACACACUGAUACUUUCAGAGCUUAGCAGAGAGGGAAGUUAGAACUAAUAUAACAAUUAUAUGCUGAGUCUAGGAGCUUGGACAGAAUCUGAGCUUAAACAAAUAAGACUUUCAUUCAUGGUUUCAAAUCAAAAGUAACAGAGACGUAUGAACAUACCUAUGAGAGUAAAGCAACUGAAAAAUAACAAACGAAAUACUGGAACAGGAGAAGAAAUUCAGCGACAGCAAAGAUAACUCAACAAACCAGCCAGCCAAAUCCAAAUCGCAACCAAUAAUUCGGAUAGAAAUCCACAGCGCCAAAGUUCAGAAUCCCAGCCACAAACUUUAACUUGAAAUUUAAUCCAAAACUUCCUUUUUAGAACCAAAAAUCAAGAGAAAGAAACCAAGCUAAAAAGAAUAUCUGUUUUCGGUCACUCUUUUUUUUGGUUUUUUCUCUUCAAAAAUGAAAUGAACUCGAACCAAAGAUGAACUCAGAACAUUUUUUUCGUAUGUUUUUGCUAAAAAAAACUGAAGAAGAAGGUCUUGAAGAAAAAUGACUACUAAAAAAAACCUAGAAAUUUCGACUAAGCUUUUGAAGAUCUUUUUCUGAUUUUUCUCCCCUUUCUUAACACAUAGAACUUACGUUAUAUAGAGCCUUCGAAAAACCUCAAAAAGUAUGCUAAAAAUUCCGAAAAUCUUCAGGUUUUUGAACAAUUUUGGGACAAAUGAAGGGCGUGGAUUGAUUCACAUCUAUCCACGGCUCCCAUUCAUCCAACAAUUGUCCUUUCGUACCCGAGAUCGUACUAUUUGGGAGAGAAUAUUCAUAAUUUCUGACAAAUCCAUUGGAAAAUAGAGGUGACGUGGAGGGGAAGGGACCAUUUGGGUGAACUUGGGCGAAACUCAAGCGAGUUGAGGUGAGUUUGAAGGAUGCGGAAGAUGAAGGAAUAGUAGGGCACCGUUUUCUGUUAUCC
rnacentral:lncRNA from 1 species